rnacentral:rRNA from 1 species
AGAGUUUGAUCCUGGCUCAGAUUGAACGCUGGCGGCAUGCCUUACACAUGCAAGUCGAACGGUAACGGGCCUUCGGGUGCCGACGAGUGGCGAACGGGUGAGUAAUGUAUCGGAACGUACCUUUCAGUGGGGAUAACGUAGCGAAAGUUACGCUAAUACCGCAUAUUCUGUGAGCAGGAAAGCAGGGGAUCGCAAGACCUUGCGCUGAUUGAGCGGCCGAUAUCAGAUUAGCUAGUUGGUGAGGUAAAGGCUCACCAAGGCGACGAUCUGUAGCGGGUCUGAGAGGAUGAUCCGCCACACUGGAACUGAGACACGGUCCAGACUCCUACGGGAGGCAGCAGUGGGGAAUUUUGGACAAUGGGGGCAACCCUGAUCCAGCCAUGCCGCGUGAGUGAAGAAGGCCUUCGGGUUGUAAAGCUCUUUCGGCCGGGAAGAAAUCGUAUGGGUUAAUACCCUGUGCGGAUGACGGUACCGGCAUAAGAAGCACCGGCUAACUACGUG